GAGGGGGCGGGGUGCUUACCAUGCAAGUCGAACGAUGAACCGCUUUCGGGCGGGGAUUAGUGGCGAACGGGUGAGUAACACGUGGGCAAUCUGCCCUGCACUCUGGGACAAGCCCUGGAAACGGGGUCUAAUACCGGAUAUGACCGUCUGCCGCAUGGUGGAUGGUGUAAAGCUCCGGCGGUGCAGGAUGAGCCCGCGGCCUAUCAGCUUGUUGGUGAGGUAGUGGCUCACCAAGGCGACGACGGGUAGCCGGCCUGAGAGGGCGACCGGCCACACUGGGACUGAGACACGGCCCAGACUCCUACGGGAGGCAGCAGUGGGGAAUAUUGCACAAUGGGCGAAAGCCUGAUGCAGCGACGCCGCGUGAGGGAUGACGGCCUUCGGGUUGUAAACCUCUUUCAGCAGGGAAGAAGCGAAAGUGACGGUACCUGCAGAAGAAGCGCCGGCUAACUACGUGCCAGCAGCCGCGGUAAUACGUAGGGCGCAAGCGUUGUCCGGAAUUAUUGGGCGUAAAGAGCUCGUAGGCGGCUUGUCACGUCGGUUGUGAAAGCCCGGGGCUUAACCCCGGGUCUGCAGUCGAUACGGGCAGGCUAGAGUUCGGUAGGGGAGAUCGGAAUUCCUGGUGUAGCGGUGAAAUGCGCAGAUAUCAGGAGGAACACCGGUGGCGAAGGCGGAUCUCUGGGCCGAUACUGACGCUGAGGAGCAAAGCUGGGGGGACACAAAAAAAAAAAAAGG
rnacentral:rRNA from 1 species